GCGGUUGUAACUCAGCUGGGAGAGUGCCUGACUGAAGAUCAGGUUGUCGCUGGUUCAAAUCCGGCCAACCGCA
rnacentral:tRNA from 2 species